rnacentral:antisense_RNA from 1 species
UGAAUGUACACCCCAGGAAUGGAAGACAGGAAAGCCAGAAAAAGACUCAGUCCCUGAUGGCUGAAGAGCUACCAUACCUGCCCCUAGAUCUUCUAUUUCUGAUCAUCUUCUAUGCAAGGCCUGGAAUGUAAUCAUGGAUAGCCAUGGAUGAUCAGCUUUCAUCAUGUGGGCAUGGAACAAGAUGGAAGGAAGCUAGGGCCCUGAGUGACCUGUGGAGCAGAGGCCUUUGCCCACCCUGGGCUGCCUGAUUUCCCCUGGACUAUCAUGAGACAGAAGAAAAAGCUUCUAUCUUAUUUGAACCACUGUGUUUUGGGAACCUUGGACUAGAGCAGCCUAGCCUUCAUACACUAACAAGGUGUAUGUGUCUGCUCUUUGUUGCUUUUGUAGGUGGUUGUGUUAUAAGCCUGAAUGCAGAAGUUGUCCCCCAGACUACUGGAUUUGCUGCCUUUUAAAACAGGUUUAUUGAACUAUAAUUGACAUACAAUGAACUGCAUAUAGGUAAAGUGUACAAUUUGAUAAGUACACUUUUUGAGCAAAUCCACCCUUUGUUCUGGAAGAAGACACUCUAUAGUCUCAGGCUGUUUCUUUACCAACAUCAACAAGCUAGUCUUAAACAGAGGAACGUCAGUGCCUCACUUUCAAGACAAUCAAGAUUAUCUCCCAACAUUCUACUAGUAGAGGGUCAGAAACAGAGUUAAAAGUUCUCGACUAGAGGUAGAAUUGAAACCCCAGCUGAGAAGUAUCAAGGUGCCUUCCUUCCCCAAAGCUACAUAUUCUUGUGUCAGGAUCUUACCAGGAAAUGGAAGGCACAUUUACACAGGGCAGCCCAAGAGACUGUUUCAAAGGAAACCAGCAAGAUGUGACAAAGCACCCCAAGACUAGCGACACUGGGAGACCUUCUCACUUGACUUAAAAGCUGGGGCAGGAGAGUUACAGGACCCAGUAUUAGCUGUAGCCAAAGCCUGGGCAGGGCCACCUAACAUGAGCUGCACCCUUCUGUAGAGCAGCACAGACCUUGUGCCUCUGAGGCCCAGCAGGAUGGGGCCUUGCUCAUCCUUCCCUUGCAGAUCUUGCUAAUGCUUCCUGUUGCCUGAACCCAGCUGGAAGCCAGAGGGCAAGGGAAAUCAAUUGAGACAGAUAAUGGAGAUAAUCCCCUGGGCACAGGGCAGCAUGGCAGAGGUAAGGAGUCUGUCUAGAGCCACAAAGGAAGAGGACUGAGUCCAGAGGUGAAAGCAGUCACGUAUCCCCAAAGACACCUGCUACACAUUUGGGCUUUGAUUUAUCAAUGAGAAGGCUUGAGGGACAGUGGGAAAAAUGAUGAGGAGUCAUUAGGUCCUUGUGGAAAUGGUGCCCUUGAAGGAUGAGCCUGUAAUCACUAGGUACACGUGGGUGGAUGAAUGCUGGUGAAACAGGUGGAGGGAAUGAAAGGACAGAGAGAGCACGAGAACACUGUAAGCAGAGCAGAAGUCCAUGCAAAAGCCAGAGAUGUGAGACAGCACGGGUACAUAUAGGGACCCGCAGGUGUUCUGGAGUGGCUUUGCUGUGGGUUGUGAUGAGAUAUCCACUGUGUUGGAGCUCUGGAACAAAAAGGAGGUCAUCUAAGCUGGUUGCUUCUGUUUUUUUCUUUUCUUUUUUUUCCAGAUGCAUUUCAAUUAGGUGAGGGGUACCAGGCAGAAACCCCUCCUGAAUAUAAACCCUCUGUCUUAUUCUACCAGUUAAAGAUGAACGAUGGCUCACUUCCUAUUGGGUACUAUGUUCAUUAUUUGGGUGACAGGAUCAAUAGAAGCCCAAACCUCAGCAUCAUGCAAUAUACCCAUGUGACAAACCUGUAUCCCCUAAAUCUAAAAUAAUAAUAAAAAAAGAUGUACCAUAGCUCUUAAUUGCUCUUCAAAUCACCCACACCAUUAGAGAAAGCUAUUUCCACCCCAAUCUGAAUUAAAGAAUUCUACAAUCUCCUACAGUCCGAAAGAGAGACUUCAGCUAAAGAGAAAGCUGGUGCUCCUCUUGCUAGCUGAGUGAAUUCUGAUCCUCUUUUUCAUGUUUAUUUUCUUGCUUGAACUCUGCUUUGUUAAAUCAAACACCAGCCCAAAACUGAGCCCAUGGAUCACCAUAUUGGCAGCCUUAUCCUAGAAUCUCAGGGCUGGAAGGAACUCCGAGUACAGCAUUCUCCAGUGUUGGGUGUCAACAGGAGCAGAGUUGGUCUCUUUCGAGAGCUUCCUGGAGAGUCUAUAAAAGCCUGGCUUUGGAACUCUUAUAUUUGGAGGCUGAGAUUCAGAAGGCCUGGGGUGGGGCUUGAGAAUAUAAAUUCUUUAAAAAUUUUUUUUCUUUUCCUUAGAUAAAUCUUAGAAACCAAAGGGAAUUGAAUUCUUAAGAAGACUUGAAAAUGAUUCUAAUAUAGUCGGGUUAGGGGAAAUCUGGUCUUGAGCUUUUUCUUGGGAGAUGUGGUGAGUCCAAGGCAAGCCAGGCUUCAAUUCUGAAUCUACGCUCUUCCCACACAUCUAUGUGGCCUCUGUGCAGAGUCUGAGUUUUAUGUUUUACAAAGAAAACUAGGAGAAAAACUGUUAUUCUUCUGAUUAACAGGAAAGUUGUCCAACUGGCUACACUUGAAUUAUAUCCCCUGAUUAUUAAACUCAGGCUUCUUUAGUUUUCAUUUAUUUUAUUUCAUUGCAUGGAGAUGUUUUAAAAGAGGAAGGCAAGGUGUAGGGGAAGGAUUCUGGGAUAGCGACCAUUCUCACCACAUGCAGAAGGCCAAUACUGCUUCCAGAAGGAGACACAAGGAAUCCUUCACUGAGUGAAAGCUUUUUUUCUUCCAGAGAAUAUCGGUAUUCCUACUUUAUAACAAGCCAGGAGCUUUUUCUGCUUCCUGAUUUAAAAAUUGAUUCCUGACUGCAUAGUUCUCACACAAUAGCUUCCUUCUCGCAGGGGCAGUGUGAUUGCCUGGAAUAUAAAUUCUUAGUGGGCCGACCAGGGAUCACGAGCAGUUAUUAUGUUCUCUGCUGCUCUUAACAUGUUGUGAUUCUCAAUAAAUAAUCCAGAGCCAAA